rnacentral:rRNA from 1 species
UACAGGGGGUGCAAACGUUGCUCGGAAUUAUUGGGCGUAAAGCGCACGUAGGUGGUCGCGUAAGUUGGAUGUGAAAGCCCUCGGCUUAACUGAGGAAGUGCAUCCAAAACUGUGCGGCUGGAAUGUGGAAGAGGGUCGCGGAAUUCCCGGUGUAGAGGUGAAAUUCGUAGAUAUCGGGAGGAACACCAGCGGCGAAGGCGGCGACCUGGUCCAACAUUGACGCUGAGGUGCGAAAGCGUGGGGAGCAAACAGG